rnacentral:rRNA from 1 species
AUUGAACGCUGGCGGCAGGCCUAACACAUGCAAGUCGAGCGAGCGGCGGACGGGUGAGUAAUGUAUGGGGAUCUGCCCGAUAGAGGGGGAUAACUACUGGAAACGGUGGCUAAUACCGCAUACUAUCGGAUGAACCCAUAUGGGAUUAGCUAGUAGGUGGGGUAAAGGUUCACCUAGGCGACGAUCGCUAGCUGGUCUGAGAGGCUGAACAGCCACACGGGAACUGAGAAACGGCCAAGAGUCCUACGGGAGGCAGCAGUGGGGAAGAUUGCACAAUGGGCGCAAGCCUGAUGCAGCCAUGCCGCGUGUAUGAAGAAGGCCUUAGGGUUGUAAAGUACUUUCAGCGGGGAGGCGGUACCCGCAGAAGAAGCACCGGCUAACUCCGUGCCAGCAGCCGCGGUAAUUC